rnacentral:snRNA from 1 species
CGCUUUGUGCAGUGCAGUAUUGUAGCCAAUGAGGUUUAUUCGAGGUGUGAUAAUUGCUAAUUGAAAACUUUUCCUAAAGUAUUUGAUCAUCAUUUUGUUUGAUGGGAAUCUCUUAUUUGCAAUUGUUUGG